CCGAGUUCCGUGCCGCAGCAAACGCAUUAAGUGCCCCGCCUGGGGAGUACGGCCGCAAGGCUAAAACUCAAAGAAAUUGACGGGGGCCCGCACAAGCGGCGGAGCAUGCGGAUUAAUUCGAUGCAACGCGAAGAACCUUACCAAGGCUUGACAUACACCGGAAACUUCCAGAGAUGGUUGCCCCGCAAGGUCGGUGUACAGGUGGUGCAUGGUUGUCGUCAGCUCGUGUCGUGAGAUGUUGGGUUAAGUCCCGCAACGAGCGCAACCCUCGUCCUAUGUUGCCAGCGGGUUAUGCCGGGGACUCAUAGGAGACUGCCGGGGUCAACUCGGAGGAAGGUGGGGAUGACGUCAAAUCAUCAUGCCCCUUAUGUCUUGGGCUUCACGCAUGCUACAAUGGCCGGUACAAAGGGCUGCGAUACCGCGAGGUGGAGCGAAUCCCAAAAAGCCGGUCUCAGUUCGGAUUGGGGUCUGCAACUCGACCCCAUGAAGUCGGAGUCGCUAGUAAUCGCAGAUCAGCAACGCUGCGGUGAAUACGUUCCCGGGCCUUGUACACACCGCCCGUCAAGUCACGAAAGUCGGUAACACCCGAAGCCGGUGGCCCAACCCUUGUGGGGGGAGCCGUCGAAGGUGGGACUGGCGAUUGGGACUAAGUC
rnacentral:rRNA from 1 species